AAAAUUCCUACCACAGCCAAAUACUUAUGCUUACUAGAUUAGGAAAACCUUCCAUUUAUAUUUCAACCUAUAAGCAUUGAGGGUAGUUAAGCUGUGUAGACCCUAAGAACUAGUCAUGCAGUUAAAGUCAAUAUUAUGUGCUCUCCAUCCAUUGAUCUUAGCUACUUCUAUCCUCAGAAGUAUGCAACCACUUACAUCCACUAUGCAUUCACUAUGUGCUACUUCUAUUCCUGGAAGUACCACCCACAUAUACACACUACACUCUACUCCUACAUUGGGAGUACGCAUUCCUCUAUUCACCCAUACACAUUCUACAUCCACUUAGAAAAUGUUCUACUCCUACGCUGGGAGAAGUCACUCAAAAAUAUUUAUUACAUCUUAUUCUACUUAUCUGAUAAAGCUCCAUUCCAGUUGAUAUUCCCUAUUGUCAUCAGUGCAUUAAAAGGGUUGGCUGAUCUCUAAAAAAUGAUGAGAAAAAGAAAAGAAAGAGGACAAAAGUCCCAAAACAAAAGAAAAGAAAGAAAGCCAAGUCCUUGUUCUCAAAUUAGGGAAGUAUGUUAUCCCCAAGGAGCAGCUGUAGAAUUAGAUAUUCACCAUAAAUUAUCAUCCCUCAUAACCACUUUCAUUCUUAUCAUUCACCUUAUUCACUGCACUCACAUACACAUAUGACUUAAUUGUGUAAUUAGUUUCUCUGGAUCCAUGGUUUAACUAUGCAAUACAUGCAAGUAGGUUUGAAUUGUCUUUCCCACCUAUGAGCUCCACAUAAGCCAAUUAGAAAUAGAGUGAGAGAGAGAGAAGGCAACUAUGCCUUAGUCCUACAAAUACCACAUAUGAGAGACUAGAAAGUGUCAUACAAGGAAUCUUUGAGUUUUAUUUGAAAAUUUUGCAAAAACUCUGGAGUAAUAGUUGA
rnacentral:lncRNA from 1 species